AUGGAGACGCCUAAUUCCAUGGAGAUGCCUCUUCACGGAUCCGCUUCUCUUCCAAAUAAAUUCAUGGGACCUAAUUUCAUCAAGAGAGAGAGAUCAUUCCUUCAGUCUCCCACUUAUGGAAACCUCGUCACUGUUCUUAGCAUCGAUGGAGGUGGAAUCAGAGGAAUUAUCCCCGGCACUCUUCUCAAUGGUGAGGAUGAAAGACUGGCAGAUUACUUUGACGUCAUUGCAGGAACUAGCACCGGUGGUCUAGUGACUGCCAUGCUUACAGCCCCGGAUGAAAACGGCCGUCCAUUAUUUGCUGCUAAAGAUAUCAACAAAUUUUACCUUGACCACUGCCCUAAUAUAUUCCCCCAAGAUAAUUGCAAUAUUGAUUGUCUUCCCUUCACUCCUGUAACUGAUGCGAUGGCAGUGGUAAAAGCUUUCAGAGGGCCAAAGUAUGAUGGGGACUAUUUACAUAAAAUAGUGAGGGAAAAAUUAGGAGAAAUCAGAUUGCAUCAGACAUUGACUAACGUCAUAAUUCCCACUUUUGAUAUAAAGAGGCUCCAACCAACCAUCUUCUCCAGCUAUGAGGUGAGGAAGAACAGUAGCCUAGAUGCUUUACUCUCGGAUAUAUGCAUUGCAACUUCAGCAGCCCCAACCUAUCUUCCAGCCCAUCAUUUUGAAACCGAAGAUUCCACAACCGGUCAAAUAAGAGAAUUUGAUCUCAUUGAUGGUGGUGUUGCUGCUAAUAACCCGGCACUGGUGGCUGUGAGUGAAGUGUCAAAAGAAACUUUCACGGGAAAUCCCGACUUUUUUACAAUGAAGCCAACAUAAUAUGCCCGGUUUCUAGGUGUAUCAUUGGGUACUGGGUCAGCAAAAUGUGAUGAGAAGUACGAUGCCCAAAAUGCAGCUAAGUGGGGUAUUCUGGGAUGGUUGAUCAGAGGCGGCGGCGGUUCCUGUCCGUUGCUUGAUAUAUUUACUCAAGCAAGUAGUGACAUGGUUGAUUUCCACCUUUCUACAGUAUUUCAAGUUCUGAGAAAAAUUACCUAAGAAUCCAGGAUGAUGAUUUGGGCAAGACAUUGUGUUCUGUGGACAUUGCUACAAAAGAGAACUUGCAAAAUCUUGUAAAAGUUGGAGAAAACUUGUUAAAGAAAGCAGUUUCCCAAGUGAACUUGGAAACCGGUAUCCAUGAGCCUGCCCAUCAUUCUACCAAUGAAGAGGCUCUAGCAAGGGUUGCUGGAAUUUUGUCCAAGAAAAAGAGAGUCCGUGAAAUGAGAUCGCCACAGGGAAAGAAGGCCACAACAAUAGCCAGCUCCAAAUUGUCAUUAAUUGUGGACUAUGAAGUUUAUGAAUUCUUACUCGAUGUUUCUCCGUACGCGAGAGUACUUAAUGAAGUCUUACUCGAUGUUUCCAUUGCAAUCCGGAGCCGUGCAAUGGAAAAGCUGAAGCGCAAGCCGAGCAGUUUGAGUUUGACAGAUAGUAUUUCUUGGGUUUACUCUACGAAAACUGGGGAGCUAUACAUAACUCAAAAGGCAGUGGAGAAGAAAGAGGGGUGUGAAGAUGAAGAAGAUGAUGAAAAGGAGGAGUUAUCAGUGGCAAGUUGCUUCUCUUGCUGCUCAUCUAGUGCUGCUGCAAGUAGGGAUGUGUUUCUCUCUGUCAAGACUAGUCUUUCAAGAUGUUCGAGCCUUGAUGGUUUUGAAUUCAACUUCAACGACUUUCAGACGAGGCAGUCCAUAAUUCAACAGCUGUGCCAUUGUGAGGGUUGGCCGUUUGCCGGAAGGCUGUGUUGCUUCCGCCUCUGCCCAAGUAAUACCCAAACUGAUACAGUAAGCAUUCCAAGGUUUAUAUCAGUACCUUUCCCCACUCAGAACCUAUGCCGCUACACCUCAUCUUCAAGUAUAUCAGCCUGGUUCCCAACUCAGUCUCCACCUUCUUCCGCAAGAGGAUUGGACUCGAUAGGUGCUGCAGGAACAGACUCGAUAUUGUCUGUAGGAAUGGACUCGAUAGGGAUAGAUUUUGGAACUGAUUUGAUAGGAGAGUUUUCUGGUGUUUAUAUAGGAAUAAAAGAGGAUGUAGGUGGAAGCAGAUUAACAUUGGAGCCCGAAGAAACCCUAUCAACUAAACCCGAGAAGCUGGAUGGUGAAGAUGCAAGACUGGCAGAUUACUUUGAUGUUAUCGCAGGCACCAGCACAGGUGGUCUUGUCACUGCUAUGCUUACUGCCCCAGAUGAAAAUAACCGUCCCCUAUUUGCUGCUAAAGAUAUUAACGAUUUUUAUCUUGAACACUGCCCUAAGAUCUUCCCCCAAGACAGGGUGAACAUGGAAACUGGUAUGUUUGAGCCUGCCCAUCAGUCUACAAAUGAAGAGGCUCUCGUAAGGGUAGCGGGAAUUCUGUCUAGAGAGAGGAGGGUUCGUGAAAUAAGAUCACCCCAUGGGAAGGCUGCAGGCGCCGCAGCAGCUACUACUAUGGAAGACAAUCAUGAUGUCGAGAUUAAUCCUUUUGGUGGAGGUGGAGCUCGAAUGGCAAGAACAACAGUGCAGAAUGCAAAGUUUGAAGUGGAAAAAUUUGAUGGAACAAAUAAUUUCAGUAUGUGGCAAUGUGAAGUCAGAGAUGUCUUGGCUCAGCAGGACUUGGAUAUGACUUUAGAGGAUAUGCCUGAAGAUAUGGAUGAAGCAGAAUGGAUAAGGUUGAAUCGGGUUGCUUGCUCGUCGAUUCGGUUGUGUCUCGCUAAAGCCCAGAAGUAUUCUGUGAUGAGAGAGACGUCGGCGAAGAUGUUAUGGCAGAAACUGGAAGAUAAGUAUAUGACAAAGAGCAUAGAGAAUCGUCUACACUUAAAGAAGAAGUUGUAUCGGUUCCAGUUUAAAGGUACAAAGAUGAUUCAACACCUUGAUGCUUUUAACAAGUUAAUUGCUGAUUUGUUAAACUUGGAUGAAGAAAUCAAGGAUGAAGAUAAAGCUUUACUGUUGUUGAAUUCUUUGCCUGAUGCAUAUGACCAUUUAGCUACUACUUUGUUGUAUGGUAAAGACACUAUCAAGUUUGAUGAAGUGUCUAAUGCAUUGAUGAAUUAUGAGGUGAGGCAUAAGGAUAAAUAUGAUAGUACUUCUAGUACUUCAGAGGCUUUGGUUGUGAGAGGUAGAUCACUUGAAAGGAAAAGAUUUGGUGGCAGGAAGAAAUCUGGUUUAAGAGGAACUUCGAAGGACAAGAAGAGAUUAGGAAGAGAUGAAUGUGCCUUUUGCCAUAAUAAAGGACAUUGGAAGAAUGAUUGUCCAAAGCUUCGAAACAAGGGUGCAAGUUCUAGUGCUAAUGUGGUACUUGCUGAGAAUGAACCUGAUUAUGCUUUGUGUGUGUCUCCCAUCAAUGACAAAGACAAGUGGAUAAUGGAUUGUGCUUGUACUGAGCAUAUGACUCCAAGAAAGGACUGGUUUACCACUUUGGAUACAAAUGUGAGUGGAGAUGUUAUAACAUGUGAUGAUUAUGGCUUGGAGAGUGAUAGAACUCUAGUGAUAUCACUGGGUACUGGUUCGGCGAAAUGCGAGGAGAAGUAUGAGGCCACAGAUGCAGCUAGGUGGGGCGUUUUGGGGUGGCUAACCGGAGGCGGUUCAUGUCCACUGGUUGACGUUUUUACUCAAGCCAGUAGUGACAUGGUUGACUAUCACCUCUCUACUGUCUUCCAAGCUCUUCAUUCUGAAAAAAACUACCUUCGGAUUCAAGACGAUACGCUGGAGGAAACAGUGUGUUCAGUUGACAUUGCUACGCAUGAAAACUUGAACAAUCUUGUAAAAGUUGGAGAGGAAUUGUUAAAGAAACCGGUUUCCAGGGUGAACAUGGAAACUGGUAUGUUUGAGCCUGCCCAUCAGUCUACAAAUGAAGAGGCUCUCGUAAGGGUAGCGGGAAUUCUGUCUAGAGAGAGGAGGGUUCGUGAAAUGAGAUCACCCCAUGGGAAGGCUGCAGGCGCCGCAGCAGCUACUACUGUUUGAUACGUAAAAGUUAAUUCUGCUACAGUGCUACUGAUCGAUGAUACAUUAUUAUUAGUUA